rnacentral:rRNA from 1 species
GACGAACGCUGGCGGCGUGCUCAACACAUGCAAGUCGAACGGAAAGGCCCUGCUUUUGUGGGGUGCUCGAGUGGCGAACGGGUGAGUAACACGUGAGUAACCUGCCCUUGACUUUGGGAUAACUUCAGGAAACUGGGGCUAAUACCGGAUAGGAGCUCCUGCUGCAUGGUGGGGGUUGGAAAGUUUCGGCGGUUGGGGAUGGACUCGCGGCUUAUCAGCUUGUUGGUGGGGUAGUGGCUUACCAAGGCUUUGACGGGUAGCCGGCCUGAGAGGGUGACCGGCCACAUUGGGACUGCGAUACGGGCCAGACUCCUACGGGAGGCAGCAGUGGGGAAUAUUGCACAAUGGGCGGAAGCCUGAUGCAGCAACGCCGCGUGCGGGAUGACGGCCUUCGGGUUGUAAACCGCUUUCGCCUGUGACGAAGCGUGAGUGACGGUAAUGGGUAAAGAAGCACCGGCUAACUACGUG